CAUCCAGUGGAGAGGCUCGUG
rnacentral:miRNA from 1 species